rnacentral:tRNA from 1 species
UGGCUCAGUGGUAGAGUGCUUGCCUUGCACGCAUGAGGCCCUGGGUUCAAUCCUCAG